rnacentral:misc_RNA from 1 species
CCUUGCACCAGGAGAAACCAUUCAAAAAAUUGUAUACCUCGAAGGGAAGCCAACGCCAGUGUGCUUUAUCAAUGGUGGUGGAAUAUACUUACGAAGACAAACUCAAGGAAAACAACUCAACAGCUUUCACUAAGCUAUGUUUUGUUACAAGUUGAGGUAAUUGUUUACAUCUUUGUGGCAACAGCAGAGAAUGACAGUAUUCAAUCGGACUAGCAUUAAUUGCAAUUAUAUCAUCUUUGUCUGUAUUAUUUAAAUUCAUUAUUUGUUCUUCUGACACAAGUUUUGUAAAGUUAAAAUCUUUCUCAUUGAAAGGUUGGUUCAUUGAAAUAAUACUUUCUGGAGAUCUUCUUUUAUAACCGCGAUCAAUA